rnacentral:rRNA from 1 species
AAUCUUGAUGCUUCAUAUAACCAAAGCAUCCGCCUGAGAACUACGAGCACAAACGCUUAAAACUCUAAGGACUUGGCGGUGUCCCAAACCCACCUAGAGGAGCCUGUUCUAUAAUCGAUAACCCACGAUACACCCGACCACUUCUUGCCAAAACAGCCUACAUACCGCCGUCGCCAGCCCACCUCUUUUGAGAGCGCCACAGUGAGCACAAUCGCCCUAACCCCGCUAACAAGACAGGUCAAGGUAUAGCUCAUGAAGUGGAAGAAAUGGGCUACAUUUUCUAGCUUAGAAAACUCACGAAAAGGGGCAUGAAAUAGCCCCUAGAAGGCGGAUUUAGCAGUAAAGCGGGAUAACAUAAGCCCCCUUUAAGCCGGCCCUGGGGCACGUACACAC